AGUGAACGCUGGCGGCAGGCCUAAUACAUGCAAGUCGAACGGCAGCACGGCAGAGCUUGCUCUGUGGGUGGCGAGUGGCGGACGGGUGAGGAAUACAUGGGAAUCUGCCCAGUCGUGGGGGAUAACGUAGGGAAACUUACGCUAAUACCGCAUGCGCCCUUCGGGGGAAAGCCGGGGACCUUCGGGCCUGGCGCGAUUGGAUGAGCCCAUGUCGGAUUAGCUAGUUGGCGGGGUAAUGGCCCACCAAGGCGACGAUCCGUAGCUGGUCUGAGAGGAUGAUCAGCCACACUGGAACUGAGACACGGUCCAGACUCCUACGGGAGGCAGCAGUAGGGAGUAUUGGACAAUGGGCGCAAGCCUGAUCCAGCCAUGCCGCGUGAGUGAAGAAGGCCCUCGGGUUGUAAAGCUCUUUUGUCCGGAAAGAAAAGCGCCGGGUUAAUACCCUGGUGUCCUGACGGUACCGGAAGAAUAAGCACCGGCUAACUUCGUGCCAGCAGCCGACGG
rnacentral:rRNA from 1 species